rnacentral:lncRNA from 1 species
AUAGUAUUGCUCAAGUCUUCUAUAUCCAGGUUGAUUUUUUUUAUAUAGUUGUUUUAGUAAUUACUGAGAAGUUGGCAUUGAAAUAUCAAACCAUAAUUACUAAGUUGUCUAUGUAUCCUUUCAACCCUGUCAGUCUUUUCUUCAUGUAUUAUGAGACACUUAUGCUAGGAUGCAUAUUUAUUUAUAAAUAUAUGUAUGGACUUUUUUUUUUUCAGUGAUUUUUUACUUUUUCCAUUAUAGCUGUUAUCCUCCAUCAUGCUGCAUCAUAAAUGACUGGACACUUUUAUUAUUACUAAAUUUCUUUCUUUGUGUUCAGUAAUAUUUCUUAAAUUUUAUUAUGUUUGACAUCAUUAAUACCUGCUAUCAUCUUAUGAUCACUAUAUCGCAUGUAUAUUUUCAUCCACCCUUAAAUGUACUUCUUGUAGAUGGCAUGCAUUGAAUCUUUCUUUUUCAUUUGCAUUUUUAUGGAUGAUUAGCCAAAACUCAUUUAAUUAUCAAUAUGUUUGAAUUUCUGUCUACAUUUUCUUUAUAGUUUUCUCAUAUAUUUCUUUCUCUGUUGCUUCUUCCUCCUGUAUUUUGUGUAAACUAUUUUUAUCAUAAUUUUAAUUGCCAUGAUAAUUUUUUAAAAUACUUCUUUUUACUUAAUGAUUGCUCAAAUAAUUACAAUAUGUAUUUUAAUUUGACACAAUCUACUUCCAAUUAAUUUCAAGAACUGUAGAAGUUUAUCCUACUUUCAAUAACAGAUUGCCUGUAACAGUCUAAUGGAUACAGACAGAAAACAUGUGACUUAUGGGAAACAUGAAAAGGACUUUAUCGUUCACAAAAUAUUGGAAGCCAAAUGAUUGGCAUUUUUAUGCCCUGGUUCCCUGAGACCUAAUUUCUACAAAGGCCAACUGGAAAGGGUCAAGAGGCACUUGCUCACACAAUGAGUUUCCUUACAGGAAAGAAACCCUGAGGUCACUUUACUUGGAUCUCAUAUGAGGACAGCAAGCUUGCCUAUGCUUUUCUCCAUUGGGAAGACAGUAUUUCUGUCUUCCAAGGCUAUUGACUAUACAUUCUUGAAAAUACAGUCCAGCACAAAGGCAAAAACUUCUCUGCUGACAAGGUAUAUGGUAAUGAGAGAGACCCAUGGGGAAUUUUAUCCCAACAAUUAAUGCCAGUUUAAUUCCAGUUAAAUAUACUAACAUUGCUCUAAUAUAAUUCCAUCUUUCUCUCUCUUUUGUGCUAUAAUUUUCAUUUAUAUUACAUAUAUAUAUAUGUAUGAAAACAUGAAAAACACGGUAUUAUUGCCAUGUAGAAUGAUGCAUAUUUUAAAGAAAUUGAAGAGGGAAAAGAGAGUCACAUUUUUAAAAUAAUUUACAUUUACCCACAUAAUUAUCAAUUCCAGUGUUCUUGAUUUCUUCUUGUCUAAUUAUGUUUACAUAAUUAUACAAGAAAAAAUCAAGAAGCUGAUUUCCUUUCAGCUUAACAGUUUCCUUUACCAUAUAUUGAAUGACAGGUGUACUAGCAAUGAUUUAUCACAGUUUUUGUUUAUCCAGUAAUGCCUUUAUUUCACCCUUUUUUUAGAAGAAUGGCAUAAAUAUAUACAUAUAUAUUCCAUAUAUAUAGUGUAUGUAUAUACUAUACAUAUGGUGUGUGUGUGUAUCCUUCAAUAUGUACAUGCAUAUUUCAGCAUUCUGAACACAGCUUUUUAGCUAUCAGUAGUUUUUGUGGGAACACAGAUACUAAUCUUAUUGUUAUCCUGUACAUGGCGAAUUGUUUUUCUGUCACUUUUUUCAAGAUUUUUUUCCUUUGUUUUGGCUUUCAACCGUUUGUCUAUUUUAUAUCUGAGAGUGAUCUCUUUGUUUCUAAACGUUUUGGUAUUAUUUUUUAAAAAUCAAAUUUGGGGAAUUGUGUGCCAUUAUUCUUUCUUUAUUUUCCUGCUUCUCUCUUUCCUCUGCUCCAGGGCCUCCUAAUACAUCUAUGUUGGUGUGCCUGAUGUUGUCCAAAAGGUGUCAGAGGUUCUGUCUUUUUUUCCUUUCUAUUCUUCAGAGUAUGUACUUUGUACUUCAGAGUAUGUACAUUUCACAGCAAAUGACCUGAGCUGCUGCAGUGACAAUGCCAGAUCCUCAAAACGUUGAUCCACAAGAGAAAUAGAUCUUCUGACCAUUUUUUUAAAUUUGGUGGUGUGUUUUUUGAUGUAAAGUUGCAUGAAGUGUUUGUAUAUUUCAGAGAUUAAUCUCUUGCCAGUCACUUCAUUUGCAAAUAUUUUCUCCAACUCUAUGAGUUGUCUUUUUGUUUUGUUUAUGGUUUCCUUUGCUGAGCAAAAACUUUUAAUUUAAUUAUGUCCUAUUUGUUUAUUUAUUUAUUUAUUUAUUUUAUAAAUUUUGAGAGUUUAUUUAAGCAAAUAUCAAUUUGAAUCAGUUUGGUGGUACCAAACCCCCAUUGCUUUAUUAUUAUUUUUUUUUAGAGACCUCUAUCACUUGGAUAUCUGUAGCAGAUUGGAAAGUAGUUCCAAAGUCCAGGCAGUUUUCAUGUCUUUUCACCAAAGCCCAUCUAGUCUUCCACAUGCAUGUGCAGAGCAUCCCAUUCAGUGGUAAUUGCUUGGAGAUCUGACAUGAUUUUGCAUUUCCACUUCAUAUAUACAUAGCUAUCCAAUAAGCCAGGAAUGUGGGAGAACUUGACUAACUCUUCUCUGGCUCUCUUAUUUCUAGGUUCAAUUUUGCUAAAAUUUUUGAUUGGCCAGUGGACUAACUCCAGUCUUGACUUCUACCUUAAACUAGUAGAGCUGCAGGCUUUCUGUAUUUGUUUCCAAUUGUGUUUGAUACUUUUAUUAGUAAUAUAAUUGAGGUUGGACUUUCCACUCUGAAACAAAGUCAGCUCUCUGGAACUGCCAUGGAAGCCUCUGGGUUUUAGUCAACAUGGCCCUGGUAGAACCACUAUGCUGAUUGAGAUAAUAGGAGGGGUGCAUGGGAGUAGCCCUAGAAAUAAUAGCACUGAUUCCAAACAUCACUACUUGAAAUUCAUCUGUACAUCACAAAAGAUGCUUCUUUUUGUAUUUGUUUGUUUUGACCAGUUCCUGGAACCUUGAAAUAAAUAUUUCUGACAACUUCUUUCAUGUAUAUGUUUUUUGGGGGGAGAAAACAAUUUUUUAUCUCUUUACUCCUCCUAAACCAUAAAUUAUCUUUCUG